rnacentral:lncRNA from 1 species
GGCUAAUCUAGAGCACUACGCUCAGCUAUAUCCAUCCGUUCAUCUCAGCCGGCCGGCGAGCCACCACCAUCCGAGCCAACAGCAUCGCCGUCCUCCUCUGCCUCCCCCUACCGCUUCCCCAUCGCCAUUGAUUUCGCGUGCAGCAGGACCAACGGCGCGCAGAAGGAUCAAGGACCACAGGCACACAUACACAUCUGAGCGUGGUGCGCGGCCGGCGGCAACACGGCAGGCCGGCUGCACGCCUGACGCACAGCUUGCGCGGUCGGCAGUUCCUCGGUGCGGCAGGGAAGGCCGUGUACUACACAGCCGGCUCCGUCGCAGGUUUCCAAAGCCAAGGUCACUAGGUCAGGUAUGGUCGCUUUUAAUUUCACUUUGUAGUCGAUUGAUUAUUUUAUUUGUACCAAAAAUAGAAUCAAUAUUCGGAGCUGGAAAGGUACAGAGCUGCCUGAACGACUCAACCUGAACGUGCAAUGUUGCUAGUACCUGACUCGGACUUUACUAGCUACGUAUUACUAUUUUUUAGUUCCAAAGGAUAGUUAUAAUAAAAACAUAUAAGGGCAUGUUCGGUUUUAUCUCGAUUUAUAUGGAUUAGAGAGGAUUAAGUGGUUUCAAUCUAUAGCCAGUCAAAAAAAAAUAUUAAUCCCUUCAAUUCACACCAAUCCAUUUAAUUCAUUGUUCGAUUAUUCCAAUCACAUGUGGAUUAGAUGAGAUUGGGAAAAAUAUAAAUUUUUUUUAAUUUGUUUGAGAUUUAAACACAACCAAUUCACAUGAAUUGAGAGCAAAACGACAAGCCCUAAGAAAUUUUCGAGAAGGACUUUUCUCCAACAGUUAUUUGAAGCAGAUCCCUAAAUUUACAAAACUCCAUACAAAACCCAGUUUUAUCUUUAUAUUUAUCAACCUCGUUGGACUCCCUAAAUCAACGUUGGUGAUGAGUCCAAUGUGAAAAGCAUACCACAACCACUGUUUCGCGCCGUGCCACACUGCCCCAUCGACCCAAAUCCAUCUCCAACGUUCAUAUGUGUUGACGGUGUCAUCACGAGACAACCUCUUGUACCGAGGCGCCAUCCUCCCGUGCGGCCUUCAAGCCAUCGACGCGAUCGUCUGGUCUUCCAUUGACAACUCUAACCUCCCAAGAUGUCAGGAGGAAUAUUGUUGAUAUUGAUUUCUGUCGCCGGUUCAAUUAAAAAUAGACACACUUACUUUUUACAGACAACUUAAAAAAUUAGCAACCGAUAAAUAGAGAAUGGUUAGAGCAUAAAUAACUUUUUUAUUCCUUAAAGUGUUUUUAGCAACUUACUAGAUCUAUAAUUUAUGAUGCUAAGUUUAUAUAACUAUUCGAGAUACUCUUAACUGCUAAAAUUAGUUGUAGAGGUUCUAAGCACCCGCUAGCUAAUAUCCCAACUAAUUAUCAGCUAACUCACAACUAAUAAUUAGUUCAUUAGCAUGCUCAACCCGCUAACAAUUUAUUAGCUGACAUAGCCUAAUGGUAAAAACAAAUUCGAGUUAGAGAUGACUAGGACCUAGAUAGUCGGGAUAUUCGUGCCCUACCAAAUAGGUUAAUUCCUUUGCCUUGCCUACUGAAUAUCAGAUAGCCUAUUCAAAAAGCUAUUCAAAAAGGUACUUUAUUAGUAGCAACGUCGUUAAAACGGUACACGGAGAACAGUAACCAGCGGUAGGGACACCGUACCUUUGGAAUUGGAGAUCGACCACUCGACCAGCUACACGAUGAGCCCGUAUAAAACUGUCGUCUUUAGAUGUGCAUCUGGUUCCCGGUGUGCGUGCUAGUAUCGGAUUCGUAGGCAUCUCUCUCAGCUGAAAAAAAAAGCCUGGCAUGCUUUACUUGACGACCGCGGAGUGGCUUGACGUAACGAUCAGUGCUUUUCUUGAGCAGUGAGCACAAAAAACGCUUAUCAGCAAAUGCAAAUUAAUGGGAGAUUGGAAAGAUCAUAGCUCAAGUUUGAGUUCUUACACACUCAGACGACUCCGGGCGAAUGAAAAAUACUGUCAUCACUAAGUAUGAAAAAUGCAGCUCUAUCCUUAGGUGUGUUUGGUUGGAAAGCCAAUUAGAAUAGAGCGGUUUCAUUCAAGUUUCUAAGAAUGGAGCCAUUCUAUCUUGUGUUUGGUGAUUAGAACUAAACUGCUCUAUUUUUUUUGUUUAAUCGAAGACUAGAAUAGAGCGGAGUUACUCUGUUUAUUGUUUCGUUGGAGAGCCAUACAAGUAUGGAGGGGAGAAAAGGAAGGUGAGUGCUCACAUCCACGAGAGCGCUCACAUCCAAUUGUUUUGGUGGAGUGAGAGCAUUUCAAAUAUUUACCAUAUAUAGAUUCUAGAGUUAUUUCACUCUCUCCUUAGAAACCAAACAUUUAUUAGAAAACAAGAAUUGAGUCACUCUAUUCCCCUUCAUUCUUCAACCAAAACACACCAGGCUCACUUGGUUUGCUUGUGUCACAGCCCGUGGCCGUCGACGAAGAUCGCCGCGAUGUGAGCACCAGGAAUCGCCGCCAAGGGAACAGAUACACGGAUGUCUCA